GGAUCGGAUAAUCGCAAAUGCACAUCAUUUUGUCAAGCGUUCUUACCCCACCGACCUACAAACUGUCACCUUUUCGAUCAACCAUCUGUUGAGUUCUAGGAUAUGAUGAGCUCACAGAGCCGAUUCAUCCUAAAUUCUAAAUCCCUUGCCUCCAAUUAGGACUAUAUAUAUAUUUACUGGAUUAAUUUCCCUCACUAUCCCUAUUGAAAUCAUCUAUAUAAACAAAAAUGUUGGAUGAUGGGCAGUCGAAAAAGGGUGAAUG
ensembl:ncRNA F41D9.11 ncRNA